GUGGGGAAUAUUGGACAAUGGGCGCAAGCCUGAUCCAGCCAUGCCGCGUGAGUGAUGAAGGCCUUAGGGUUGUAAAGCUCUUUCACCGAUGAAGAUAAUGACGGUAGUCGGAGAAGAAGCCCCGGCUAACUUCGUGCCAGCAGCCGCGGUAAUACGAAGGGGGCUAGCGUUGUUCGGAAUUACUGGGCGUAAAGCGCACGUAGGCGGAUAUUUAAGUCAGGGGUGAAAUCCCAGAGCUCAACUCUGGAACUGCCUUUGAUACUGGGUAUCUCGAGUAUGGAAGAGGUGAGUGGAAUUCCGAGUGUAGAGGUGAAAUUCGUAGAUAUUCGGAGGAACACCAGUGGCGAAGGCGGCUCACUGGUCCAUUACUGACGCUGAGGUGCGAAAGCGUGGGGAGCAAACAGGAUUAGAAACCCGAGUAGUCC
rnacentral:rRNA from 1 species